rnacentral:rRNA from 1 species
GACGAACGCUGGCGGCGUGCUUAACACAUGCAAGUCGAACGGAAAGGCCCUGCUUGCCGGGUACUCGAGUGGCGAACGGGUGAGUAACACGUGGGUGAUCUGCCCUGCACUUCGGGAUAAGCCUGGGAAACUGGGUCUAAUACCGGAUAGGAGCCAUUUUUAGUGUGAUGGUUGGAAAGUUUUUUCGGUGUAGGAUGAGCUCGCGGCCUAUCAGCUUGUUGGUGGGGUAAUGGCCUACCAAGGCGGCGACGGGUAGCCGGCCUGAGAGGGUGGACGGCCACAUUGGGACUGAGAUACGGCCCAGACUCCUACGGGAGGCAGCAGUGGGGAAUAUUGCACAAUGGACGCAAGCCUGAUGCAGCGACGCCGCGUGGGGGAUGACGGCCUUCGGGUUGUAAACUCCUUUCGCUAGGGACGAAGCUUUUUGUGACGGUACCUAGAUAAGAAGCACCGGCUAACUACGUG